rnacentral:rRNA from 1 species
AAUAGAUACCCUGGUAGUCCACGCCGUAAACGAUGGAUACUAGCUGUUGGAGGUAUCGACCCCUUCAGUAGCGAAGCUAACGCGUUAAGUAUCCCGCCUGUGGAGUACGGUCGCAAGACUAAAACAUAAAGGAAUUGACGGGGACCCGCACAAGCGGUGGAGCGUGUUCUUUAAUUCGAUGAUAAACGGAGAACCUUACCAGGGCUUGACAUCCAGGAAAGCACUACGAAAGUAGAGUGUGCCUUUUGGAAUCCUGUGACAGGUGAUGCAUGGCCGUCGUCAGCUCGUGUCGUGAGAUGUUUGGUUAAGUCCAUCAACGAGCGCAACCCUUGUGAAUAGUUGUAUUUUUCUAUUCAGACUGCCCCGGUAACGGGGAGGAAGGAGGGGAUGAUGUCAGGUCAGUAUUUCCCUUACGUCCUGGGCUAGAAACGCGCUACAAUGGCCGGUACAAUGCGCAGCUAAGUCGCGAGAUGGAGCAAAUCGCAUCAAAAACCGGUCCCAGUUCGGAUAAGAGGCUGAAACUCGCCUCUUUGAAGUCGG